UGGGUUCAGGCUUCCUGGGCAGACUUUAUUUUUAGCUAGGAGUGGCAUUUUUCCCUCUGGAAGCUUUCCCUGCUUCACAUCAUGCCGUGAAAGCUGCUUGCUGGCAUUACGCUUCCUCCUCCUCGCUACUAUGUUCCCUCUGCUGACUUUCUAGCCUUCAAAACAUCAGUUUUCUGAUUAAAUUAUCAUGCUGCCCACAGCGAGAGAGAAAAAUGACUCGGUGCAUAGCGUCGUAGGCUGCCGCCGGGGGCCGCAGAGCUGUGCCCGGCUCCGCGCUGCAGCUUUGCACCGCCGCCGAGCUCGCCCGGGGGCAGCUGAGCGUCAAGAGCACCCACGGGACCUCUCCGCGCUGAGCCGGGCCAUGCACCAGUUGGGUACGCUGAGGAGAGGCAAAGGCCUGGCCACCAUCCAGGGUACCUGUGGAGCUCAUGAGUGCCGAAAAAGUAACCUCAACAGCAGAUGUUGCUGGGAUCCCACUGCUCCUGGACGCUCACCUGAGUCAUUGCAGUGAUUACCCCUUCAGAUGAGGGAAUAUGAGUGAAGCCCACGGGCCUGAGGCCCUCGUUUCCAGACAACGUGAGCAGCUGACCUUGUGGAGAAGGGAAGGUGUCUGAGGAGAUACCACAGGUGCCGUUUGCAAGAGAGAGUUGGCACCGGCAGCCGGGCUAGGGAGGAGGUGUGAGGGAGAGCAGCCUCAGCGGCCACCGCCGGCAUACGGUCACUAGGGUUGAGGGAAUAACGACUGAGAGACCCGUUCGGAUGUGCUGAGAAGAGCCGACGAAACGCUUUGCGUCCCUGGGAAUAUUUGUUGCAGGUCCAGCUAUAUACAGCUGCAAAAAUAGUUUUCAUUUCAGCUCAGGAAGGGAGGUGCUGGCUGCAACUGCUGGCAGGGGAAGAGGGAAGGGAGUAGGGCUGAACGUGCUGCACCGAGCAGCGCCCGUCGCUCUCCGUGGGCCGUCCUAGCGGCUGCUGCUGGAGCGUGGCAGAGCCGGAGGAGCUCGGCGGAGGGAAGGCGGUGAGCUGCAUGCAGGUGCUACUUGCCCCUGGGAAAAUCGGUCAGGGUGUAUGUGUGAGGCAGGGGAAGUUGGCAAAGAGGCCAUGCGAGGCCUGGCUGUCCUCAGCGAGGGCGGUGGCAGGCUCCCGUUAGCUAGCGGGAAGGUGCAAGGUGCAGCGCAGCACCCUUUGGGA
rnacentral:lncRNA from 1 species